rnacentral:rRNA from 1 species
GUGGGGAAUAUUGGGCAAUGGGCGCAAGCCUGACCCAGCAACGCCGCGUGAAGGAAGAAGGCUUUCGGGUUGUAAACUUCUUUUACCAGGGACGAAACAAAUGACGGUACCUGGUGAAUAAGCCACGGCUAACUACGUGCCAGCAGCCGCGGUAAUACGUAGGUGGCGAGCGUUAUCCGGAUUUAUUGGGUGUAAAGGGCGUGUAGGCGGGACAGCAAGUCAGAUGUGAAAACCAGAGGCUCAACCUCUGGCCUGCAUUUGAAACUGUUGUUCUUGAGUGUCGGAGAGGUAAUCGGAAUUCCGUGUGUAGCGGUGAAAUGCGUAGAUAUACGGAGGAACACCAGUGGCGAAGGCGGAUUACUGGACUGUAACUGACGCUGAGGCGCGAAAGUGUGGGGAGCAAACAGGAUUAGAAACCCCUGUAGUCC